CAUUACUAGAGCAAAGGAUAGACAGCGCCCGCGGAGCUCGCUCCCGGGGCUACCCUACUCCCGUAGGGUUUAGAGUCGUCGGGCCUCUCGGAGAAGCUCGGUCCUGAACUCCACCCUUGAAUAAACUACCUUUGUUGCUUUGGCGGGCCGCCUCGUGCCAGCGGCUUCGGCUGUUGAGUGCCCGCCAGAGGACCCCAACUCUUGUUUUUAGUGAUGUCUGAGUACUAUAUAAUAGUUAAAACUUUCAACAACGGAUCUCUUGGUUCUGGCAUCGAUGAAGAACGCAGCGAAAUGCGAUAAGUAAUGUGAAUUGCAGAAUUCAGUGAAUCAUCGAAUCUUUGAACGCACAUUGCGCCCUCUGGUAUUCCGGGGGGCAUGCCUGUUCGAGCGUCAUUAUAACCACUCAAGCUCUCGCUUGGUAUUGGGGUUCGCGGUUUCGCGGCCCCUAAAAUCAGUGGCGGUGCCUGUCGGCUCUACGCGUAGUAAUACUCCUCGCGAUUGAGUCCGGUAGGUCUACUUGCCAGCAACCCCUAAUUUUUUUAAGGU
rnacentral:rRNA from 1 species